UUGAAUCCUUAGGAUGUUGCUGACCCUUCGGGGUAUCGUGCACUCCACAUUUCAAUCCACCUGUGAACUUAUUGUAGACUUGGCUGUAAAAGUCCAUGUCUAUGUUUUUAAUACACCCUAAUAAAAGUUAUUUGAAUGUCUAUUGGAAAGACCUUAUGGUCUAGAAACAUAAUA
rnacentral:misc_RNA from 1 species